ACAGUUUCUUAUGUUAUUGAAAGUUAAUUCCUCUAAUUAAACCACCACCACAAAACUGUCAAUGUAGAGGAAACCUAAACUUGUUAAAACUUAUCAAGAUUUUAAUUUUGUAAUGUGAUUUUGUCCUAGUCCAGCUCAGCUCGUUUAUCUAAAUCGUAAGGUAAUUUUUAGAUAUUUUUGCAGCAGGUUCUAACUACUUUGUAUAUCCACAGUGUUCACAACUCAGGGCAUCAAUAAUAAAACAAGCAUGCAAGCAUGAGCAAUAUUGUGGCUCAACCUCGUAUUUAUCUUUUUUAGAAUCACUUCACAUUAUUAUCUAAAAAACUACGACUACCUUGAGUUAACCAGCCGAGUCGAGUAAUUUAGCCGAUAACAAUUGUUAUUAGGGAAAUACAUACAUAUGUAUGUCUCAUCCUAAAUAAGAAUGCACAAACUACCAUUUUUCUUUACUUCAAAACGCAUCCAGCACUAGCUUGCUAUAAAGUCCACAUGUUAGAAACUUUAGUGUUAUGAAUAUGCACUGAAUUUUUUCGCACUUAGAUCUGGCUCGAUGAAUAAUAUGCGUUCCUUUCUCCGUCUAAUGAUGUUAUACUUUUGUAAUUUGGUCGAGUUCCAAAAUACACCGUUUAUGACUUUGUCGUAUUGAUUUAAUUUCUCAUUUCUAUCUACUUAUUAGUAGUAAGUGCAGUAGUGGUUUACUCAGGCAUAUGCUUUUUGGAGUUUUUGAAGGAAUUCUAAGUAACUCCCUGUUGAAUGUCUGAGGUAUAUAAAGUUUGCAAAGAUGUUUGUAACACCAAGAAGGAAACGUCGGAAACCCCAUAAAAUCUAUACUAAUAUUAUAAAGCUGAAGAGUUUGUUUGUUUGAACGCGCUAAUCUCCGUAACUACUGGUACUUGAAUAAUUCUUUUUUUGUUGGAUAGUCCAUUUAUCGAGGAAGGCCAUUGGCUAUAUAGCAUCACGCUGCGACCAAUAGGAGCGAAGACACAGUGGUAAACGUAUAAAAAACGGGGGAAAUUAUUUAUCUUUGAGGGCUUCCGUUCCUUGCGCUGCGAAAGCGGUUCAAGAUACACAAAAGUUAUGUAUGAAAGAAUUAUUUCUCUUUUAAUGAUCUAAAAAAUUCCGUGAGUACCGUUUUUGUGAUAACUAAUUUGGUCGAAAUUAUUUGUUAGAGUUGUAUUAACAUAAUAAUAUAAAUUUUUCUAUAUUUAUUGUUAUUUUCUUCUGUCGUUACACGCAGUAUAAAACUAUUAAAAUUUUUUAGGUAAUCCGUAAUUUUUGUGGUUAGCAGUCAUUUUAUUAUUUUAGAUCUUACUCGCUGAUGUUAAUUCUUACUCUGCUUUUCUUAGAAAAUGCCACGGAAGCGGAAAUCUGGUAUAUCCAAAAUGGCAUGGUAGUUUUAUUGACUGGUGAUUUCCGUCAAACCCUCCCAGUGAUUCAGAGAGGGACAACAGCAGAUGAAAUUCAAGCGUGAAUUAAAUCAUCACGCUUAUGAUCGACAGUUGAAAAACUCCGCCUGAAAACGAAUAUGAAAGUGCAUCUUCAUAAUGACGUGGAUUCAGGAUCAGAAAUGUUGUUGAAAAUUGGUGAUGGUUGUUUAGAUGUUGACGUUGAAGGCUACAUAUUACUGUCAAGAGAAUUUUGUAAUUUAGUAGAAAGUGAUGUGGAUUUCAUUGCUAAUGUUUUUCCGGAAUUGCGAUAAAAUUUGUGUAGUGAUCAGUGGUUGUGUGCAAGAGCAAUAUUAGCACCAAGAAAUGAAAUUGUUAAUAGGAUCAACACUGAUAUUUUAAACGAGGUUCACGGAAAAAUGAAGGAAUAUUUGUCAAUGGAUACAAUUAUAGAUACGGACCUAAGUACUUCAUAUCCUGUGUAGUUUUUAAAUUCACUUGAACUAUCGGGUGUACCGUCACAUAAACUUCAAUUGAAACUAAAUGUACCAGUAAUGCUUAUGCGAAAUCUAGAUGCUCCUCUGCUAUGUAAUGGAAUAAAGAUUCGGAUAACAAAGUUGGGACAGAACAUACUUGGUGCUACUAUUUUAACAGGUGGCGGUAAGGGAAAUAGUGUUAUAAUACCUCGGAUACCAAUUGUUCCCACUGACUUUCCAUUCAAAUUUAAAAGGGUUCAGUUUUUCGUCAAGCUUAGCUUUGCUGUUACUAUAAAGCAGGCACAAGGACAAGCAUUACAGGCAGCAGGAGUGCAUUUAGAAAACCCAUGCUUCUCUCAUGGUCAACUUUAUGUAGCCUGUUCACGUGUAUCUAAUGCCCAGAAUUUACACAUAUUUGCACCCGACGGGAAAACUUAUAACAUGGUCUACAAAAAUAUCCUAUAUUAACACUCUGUAUUUUAUUUUUUAAAAUUGUUAGAAUUCAGAAUUAUUUAUUUUUGUUACGGUGAAAUAUAUUUUAACAUUUUUUGUUGCAUUUCAAUACUCAUAUUUUAAGGUGUUGAAACUUCAUUGUCUGCAGUAAUUUUUAAAAAUUGUUGAUCUCAGCCAAGCAAUAAAAUUUAGUUAUCAUUUUGACUCAUUUCUAUUAUUAUACCCUUACCCUUUAUCUCUCAUACUUAUUUAAUGGCUCCACUGCGGGCGAAGCCGCGGGUAAAGAGCUAGUAUAUAUGUAUGUACAUAUGUACGAGUAUAUGUAUGAAUAACCGAAGUGGCGAGCUGAGUCCAUUUAAACUUGUCCGCGGCUUGUUCACCUUGCAUAUCUUAUAUUGGAAGCAGAGGUUUUUUCUUAAAAAUUUUUUCCCCUCUAAAAUUAUGAGAGUAACAUAAUUGCGCUUGUAUUAUAAAUAAACCAUACAUCAAAGUAUACAAUAUAUGUACAUGGUGAGUUAUGAUAUCAGUGGCCAUAACAACCGCGUCGUUAGUUCUGCCUUCUUAAGGUUGGACAAAGAAGCGAAGCAAAUGGGUCUGGUAGUGAAAUAGGGCAAACAGUCCCGACUUGGCUUCCACGUCACUGUUGACAGUCAUACCUUCGAAGUCGAAGAUAAUUUCAUCUAUCUUACACUCAGUAUUAACACCAACAACUACGUCAGCCUCGAAGUUCAACAAAAGAUAACUCUUGCUAAUAGGUGCUUCUUCGAACUGAGUAGACAAUUGAGAAGUAAAGUCCUCUUACGACAAAUAAAGACAAAAUACUACAAGUCAUUCAUCAUUCCCAUCCUGCUAUAUGGGCGGAAAAUGUAUGGCCCUUUGCGCAUUGGCAACGGCGAAUGGCGUAGGCGAUGGAACGAGAUAUACCACGAGAUUGACAUAGUUCAGCGAAUCAACAGACAGAGGCUAGGUUACGUCGUUCGAAUGGAUGGAUACAUUCCAGGAGUGAGAGUAUUAGUCGCAGUACCCGGCAGGGUUACCAAAGGAAGAGGAAGACUCCGUUGAAAAGGCCAGGGGAGAAAAGCCAGGCUUCGAUUGAGAUACCCAAUUUGUGCUAAAUCGCGAAAACGAAGAACGACUGGAGCGCUAUUGUAAACUCGGCUUUAACUGCGUUGGUGUCUAAAGAAGAAGAUAAUCGAAUAUCAGAGUGUACGAUUUUAAUACUACUAGUUUCAGUUUUCUGAGCCCGUAAUUUUUCAAAAGCAUUUCUUUGUUCACCAGAGAUUAUUCCGUAGCGAUUUUGCCCAUUUUCGGGAAAUACUUGUAGUAGUCAACAAGAAUCUGCUAGAAUAUGCUAGCCGCUGUGCUACAAAAGGCAAUACAACAAAGGCCACGGUCGAAAGCUUGUUGUUGUAGAAAACAAUUAAAGCGCAUAUGAAUUAACGAAAUCCAACAUUAACUUAAUAUUUGGCUAAUUAACCGAUUUAAAACAGAGGUCGUUUUUUGUUUGUAUAUUUAUGUUUGUAUAUUUAUUUAUUAGUUUAAAUAUAAACAAAAUAAGAUGAAGUUUGAUUAGAAAUAUGUGUACAAAUGAGCAUCCUCCCCCGGGCAUCCACACACGCAACACUGACACGCACCUUCAUCACACCCACGUCACAAACCAGCAAAACUUACGUUCCACACCACACACCAGCUGAUUCCACACACAAGCGAAAAGAAAAGGGGACCAAAAGGACAACUGCAACUCACUUCGCUUUUAUCAUCCUCGACAUCCAGUCAAAAGUACGCGUGUGCGAUCCGUUUUUUGGAACAGCGGUUUCAUCAUCCUCCAGUUAUUUUCAUUUUUAUAUAUAUCCAGUCGGAGUUACGCGUGUGCGAACAUCUUUAAACGGCGUGUGUGCCAUCCUCAGUUUUCCAAUAUUUUAUAUAUAUUCAGUCGGAGUUGCGCGUGUGCGAACAUCUUUAAACGGCGUGGGUGCCAUCCUCAGUUUUCCAACAUUUUAUAUAUAUUCAGUCGGAGUUGCGCGUGUGCGAACAUCUUUAAACGGCGUGGGUGCCAUCCUCAGUUUUCCAACAUUUUAUAUAUAUCCAGUCGGAGUUGCGCGUGUGCGAACAUCUUUAAUCCUCCAGUUUUUUCCAACAUUUUUAUAUAUCCAGUCGGAGUUGCGCGUGUGCGAACAUCUUUAAUCCUCCAGUUUUUUCAACAUUUUUAUAUAUAUCCAGUCGGAGUUGCGCGUGUGCGAACAUCUUUAAACCUCCAGUUUUCCAACAUUUUUAUAUAUAUCCAGUCGGAGUUGCGCGUGUGCGAACAUCUUUCAACCUCCAGUUUUCCAACAUUUUUAUAUAUCCAGUCGGAGUUGCGCGUGUGCGAACAUCUUUAAACCUCCAGUUUUCCAACAUUUUUAUAUAUCCAGUUUCAUCCUAAGUCGGAAUCCUCAGCCGACACUCAUUGUGUAAAGUGUUUAAAAUUGUACCUAAGAUAAAUACAAACGCAAUAUAAUUACUUCCGUGUGCAUACGCGUGCACUAGUGUAGAUUCCAUUUUUUUCAUUUUGUUUCUAAGAAAUUUAAGAAUUUGAGGUGCAUUGGAAAAAGUGAGGUUGUGAGUUUUAUAUGGUCCUUCGAGACAAAACGAACGGCACUUUGGUGAAACGGUACAAUAUAUAUAUACAUAUCUAUAUAUAUAUGCAUAUACAUAUAUGUAAAACAACAACAAAAAGUUUUACAUAUGAAAGUGAAAUUUACAUGGUGAAUUCACACCAAUCUACAUAUGAGAAAACAAAAAGUGUGGUGAAAGAACCAAGAAAAAAAAGGGUGCACAAGUGCAGUGAAAUAAUAUAUACAUACAUACUAAAUCUAAAAGUAAAAGUGCACAAAAUUGUGUGAUACCCUAAUUAAUAAAUAAUAUUAAUAAAAGUUAACCAAAAGUGGGUGCAAACUAAAACUAAAUAAAAUCCGGGCGCGACAUAAAAACCCAUAAAUAAAAUACGGGCGCGAAAUUAUAACAAACAAAUAAAUAACAACAAAAUACAAAUAAAACAAAAGUGGACAAAAAAGAACCAUCAACACAGCAAGCGGAACGCCGGCGUUGGAAGGAAUUCCCAUCGAGACAAGCCAGGAAACGCACCACGGUUAAACCAAAAUAAAUUCCCAAAGUCCCUGAGGAAAAUCAGGGUCGAUAUGGAAGCCGAGAUGCCCAAUACUCCAACGCCCUCUGUACGUUCGGCCGUGACUGUUCCGCGCCCUAAAGCUACCCCUGUAGCAGCGCCGCGAACAACCAUAGUUCCCGCAGCCCACCGAGAGCUUCCGACAGCUCCGCGUAGAGACACGCAAGUCCGGUCUCCGGAACCAGCACCACUUCAGUGCGCGCUAUGUCGCCGCCGACAUCGAUUGCCACAUUGCGGUAUAUUCAAGGGGAUGACGCCUCAGCAACGCCAGCAGGUCGCCCAGGCCCACGGGCAUUGCUUAAACUGUCUGGCGCCUACCCAUCUAACGCGCGAAUGCACCACCGGGUAUCAGUGCCAGGUGUGUAUGGGUCACCAUCACACCAUGUUCCACCGCAAUGCUGGACCCGACAUUGAGCGUCGUCAUCCCCCUCGCGGCAGUACUGCCAGCCGACGACUCCCGCGACCGCAACCGCGAAGGCAAGCCUUCCCGUCGGAAGAGUCCCGCGCCUGGCGCCGUCAUCACCAUACCACCUCGCAUCGGAGGCGCCAUCCUAGGCCGCAGGCUCGUCGCAGGACAGGUCUCAGCAACGUUGUUGCAACACUGCAACAACUUCAGAGGUUACUAGGCUGAAUACUCGCCUAGGGGGGCCAGGAUGUACAAAUGAGCAUCCUCCCCCGGGCAUCCACACACGCAACACUGACACGCACCUUCAUCACACCCACGUCACAAACCAGCAAAACUUACAUUCCACACCACACACUAGCUGAUUCCACACACAAGCGAAAAGAAAAGGGGACCAAAAGGACAACUGCAACUCACUUCGCUUUUAUCAUCCUCGACAUCCAGUCAAAAGUAGGCGUGUGCGAUCCGUUUUUUGGAACAGCGGUUUCAUCAUCCUCCAGUUAUUUUCAUUUUUAUAUAUAUCCAGUCGGAGUUACGCGUGUGCGAACAUCUUUAAACGGCGUGUGUGCCAUCCUCAGUUUUCCAAUAUUUUAUAUAUAUUCAGUCGGAGUUGCGCGUGUGCGAACAUCUUUAACGGCGUGGGUGCCAUCCUCAGUUUUCCAACAUUUUAUAUAUAUUCAGUCGGAGUUGCGCGUGUGCGAACAUCUUUAAACGGCGUGGGUGCCAUCCUCAGUUUUCCAACAUUUUAUAUAUAUCCAGUCGGAGUUGCGCGUGUGCGAACAUCUUUAAUCCUCCAGUUUUUUCCAACAUUUUUAUAUAUCCAGUCGGAGUUGCGCGUGUGCGAACAUCUUUAAUCCUCCAGUUUUUUCAACAUUUUUAUAUAUAUCCAGUCGGAGUUGCGCGUGUGCGAACAUCUUUAAACCUCCAGUUUUCCAACAUUUUUAUAUAUAUCCAGUCGGAGUUGCGCGUGUGCGAACAUCUUUCAACCUCCAGUUUUCCAACAUUUUUAUAUAUCCAGUCGGAGUUGCGCGUGUGCGAACAUCUUUAAACCUCCAGUUUUCCAACAUUUUUAUAUAUCCAGUUUCAUCCUAAGUCGGAAUCCUCAGCCGACACUCAUUGUGUAAAGUGUUUAAAAUUGUACCUAAGAUAAAUACAAACGCAAUAUAAUUACUUCCGUGUGCAUACGCGUGCACUAGUGUAGAUUCCAUUUUUUUCAUUUUGUUUCUAAGAAAUUUAAGAAUUUGAGGUGCAUUGGAAAAAGUGAGGUUGUGGGUUUUAUAAUAUGAAAAGAUUUUUUCGACUACCCAAUAUUAAUUACAAGCAAAUGUGAAUUCAAAUGUCGUUGGAACAUUCUAUUAUAUUAUUAUCUAAAGACAACAUAAUAUGAUUUUCAAUUUUAUGACAAAUUUUAGUUAAUUGGGUCUCAUUUCCCGUAUAUAUUUCUGUAUCAUUGUUUUCAUUUUCAAAAUAUCUGAAAUACAAGUGUGUUAAGUUAUAUUGUAUGGAGCAGUUAUGCAAGGCUCCACAUGCAUUGUCGAAUUUUGCCAUCUUUUCAUGGCUGAGAAUUUUUCAUCGGCCCUUCAAUCGUUGGUUGAAUAAUAUAGCGUGAUUUUGGAUGGAUUUCAUUAACUUGCAUUUGGCGCAAAUCAUCUUCACCGUUUCUAAAUAGUUUCAAACACCAUUGCUCUAAAGGAUAUCCAGAAUCUCCUGUUAUUUUGAUUUCAUGCUUCCUCCAAAAAUAUCCUCUGCUCCACCAUAUUUUGAAUCUAAUGCUAAAACUUGAUGCUCUUGAUCACAAAAAAUAUAUACACACAUAUUCGUUAUUUCGUGAUAUACACACCUAAAUAUAAAAACGCGUAUAUUUAUAAGUGAGUGUGUAUCAUAUGUACAUACAUACAUACAUAUAUGCUACUUACUAUCAUUGAAAUAAAAGCACAACCAGUGAAACACGUAAAAUCGUGGCCCGAGUCAGUUGGCACGACCUAUCUUAUGGGCGCGCAAUGUAACUGAACAGUGAAAAACGCUACUCCCUUCUCUCUUUGACGUGGGAUGACGUGAGAAUUCACGACAUUUGGAUUUUUUGCCGCAGCAAACGAGGCAGCUGAUUUCUCUCUCACAACGCAGGGUUGCCAAUAUCAAUAUACUGCAGUAAUUAUCAAUUUUUAUAAUUCAAUCUGUUCAAUAUGUUUGAAAUUUUCUUAAAAUAACUCAAAAUCAGAGUCGAAUGCUAUUAUUUAUAAAUAUAUAAACUAUUUUUAAUAGUUUGUUUUCAGUUUUGAUAUUUUGUAUUGUAAAAAAUUGUAAUUGAAAAAAAGAUGUGCUCAAAACUAUAUAUGCAUAUUGGGCAAUGGCAACAUUGUUCAAAUGAAAACAAUUUGAUGGCUGAUUUCUGCGUUUUUCCUACGUUCUCCACUGUUCACACAUUUUGCCGAUGAGGAAGGAAAAGGAAGGAAGGCAGUAGCGUUUUUCACUGGUUGUGCUAUAAGACUGUGUCAUCCUUUUGUGUUGAAAAAUAUACUUUCUUUCGCAGUUUGAAGACCAAAAUGUGUACCUUCCUUAUAUCCGAUAUUUUUUUUAUAGUUAGCUGCAGUUUUUCACCAAAGUUUAGUCCACAAACCUACCUCCUGGAAGUUUAUAUUUUACAACAAAGUAUACUGUGCACUGAGAUAGUCGGACUGCUGAAAACUUAAUUAAACGUGGAUAAAGUUUCGUUUCCAUUUCCUUGACGUUUCCUUAAAUUUUACAAAGUGCUGUGGCCAAUAAAAAAAAUCUUCCCCAUCUAAGUGCUUCACUCGCCAAAACGAAAGAAGUCGCUGCUGGUUGAAGCAUUGAUAAAGCUGCGAUUGAUACAUGCCAUUUGAAUUUUGAUUAGGCGAAAGUCUUUGGUCAGUCUAAGGCGCUUUCUUAAUCUGUAAAUGUUUAAUGACUGUGAAGGUGUAUCGUAUCCUGAAACAAAGAAGAAAAGUUUGCCUUCGGUAACUGAUUUAACAAUAUAUAUUUAACAUGAAGUUACAAAAAACUACAAAUAUAAUAUAUUCGUGUUCAUUGGCACAUUGAGUGUUCAAAGUGUACGGACGUGUUUUUGAAUUCGCUCCAUGAUUCUAAUUUUUGCAAAAAGUAAGCAAACAGUAACAAUAAAUAAAAACAAACAAACAAAUAAAAAACAGUGCACAAAACAAAUAUAUGUAUAAAAACAAAAAAACCAACAAUAAUGAGUUCUUCGCAGCCUCACCCGCAAAACCGUAGGCAUUCCUUAAAUGCCUAUUUUAGCUUUGUCGAGCCAACAAAAGCAACGCCUGGCAAAAACAAAUGUAACGGCGAUGAUGAGUCAUCGCAGCGAUCAGAUGAAAGAGAGACUAAGCAAGCGCAGUCAGCAGCCACUAUGCAGGUACCCUGGUACCUGGCACCCGGACAGCGAAGGAAAAUAAAAUGCAAGGUAUGAAUGUUCCAAGCAAAAAAGGGCCAUCAGUUCAGACUGGUAUUGAGCGCUACAUUAAUGUAAAAAGGAAAUUGAGUCCUAUUAAAACAGCGGUCAAUACCAAAACAUUUCAAGCAGGCACGCCAAACAGUAAAAAGCCAGAAAUUCUUAAUGGCAACAGAUUUGCCUUAUUAAGCAAAAAGCUUAACGACGAAGCAAAGGGUAUCAUCACGGUCGUGAAUGCCAAACCCGCUCCAAUCUAUUUGCGUGAGCGUAGCUCAAAUGCACUUGUUUCCAAAAUGAGCAAUAUAAUAGGCACAAACAAUUUUCACAUUGUGCCCCUGAAAAAAGGUAACAUAGCUGAAACAAAAAUUCAAACAUACACUGAAAAAAGUUUCAUGGAUAUUGUAAAAUUCCUAUCAAAUAAUAAGAAGAAUUACUAGGUACUCUUACCAACUGAAGAGCUCAAAAGGCCUAGUUGUUGUAAUAAAAGGUAUAGAGUCUUCGGUAGACUCUAACGACGUUAAAGAAGCACUAGAAGAAGGUGGUUUUAGCAUUAAAUCAGUAGUAAAUAUUUUUAACAGGAACAAAGUCCCCUAACCAAUGUUCAAAAUAGAACUGAUGCCAAAUUGUAACCAACUAAAGAAAAAUGAAAUACACCCAAUUUACAAUUUAAAAUAUCUGCUCCAUCGCAGAAUUACCGUUGAGGAACCACAUAAGAGAAAUGGUCCGGUACAAUGUACAAACUGCCAAGAGUAUGGACACACGAAAGCAUAUUGCACUCUACGCAGUGUCUGUGUGGUGUGUGGUGAUCUACACUCUACUUCUAAAUGUACUCUUAAAAAAGAGGAUUUAAAUAAAAAAUGCAGCAAUUGUGGGGGAAAUAACACUGCUAACUACAGAGGUUGCCCCGUAUAUAAAAGAUUGGAAAUCGAAGUUGUCACAGGGCAUUCAAGCACGUCGUAACCAAAUAUUACAGACACCUCGUAAUGAAAUAAAAGCAACCUCAGAAAAAAGUUCAAAUUAUUUUACUUCUAACAAUAAUAAUAUGCAAGGAAGCUAUGCAAAUGUGGUGAAAGGCAACACUGUGCAAAUGCAACUGCCGCAAAAUCCUCCAAAUCGAGGUAUUGAAACUAUGAUUAUAAAUCUUACACAGUGUAUGACUCAAUUUAUGUCUACCAUGCAAAACAUGAUCCAAGAUUUAAUAAAAUCACAAAAUCUAAUGCUGCAAAAUUUAUUAAGUAAAAAAUGAGCUUACUAAAUGACUGUAUAUGGAAUGCUAACGGUGUUAACCAACAUAAAUUAGAGAUUAUUGGAUUUCUGUCUGAAAGGAAUAUAGAUAUAAUGCUUAUUUCAGAAACUCAUCUAGCAAAUAAAAAUAAUUUCAAUAUACCGGGACUUAGACUAUACGUUACAAAUCAUCCGGAUGGAAAAGCGCAUGGUGGCACGGCAGUGUUGAUUAGAGAUCGUUUAAACCACUAUGCUCUAGAAUCUCAUGCUACACCACAGUUACAAGCUAAACUAAAAAAAUCAAGGUUGUGACUUAAACCUUACGGCUAUAUACUGUCCACCUCGUUUUAAAAUUACAGAAAUCGAAUUUAAAGACUUUUUUGGAACACUAAGUCAAAGAUUUCUAGCAGGUGGAGAUUAUAACGCAAAACACACGUACUGGGCCUCACGUCUUAUUAAUCCGAAAGGACGACAGUUGUACUACACUAUUAUGAAUAAGCAUAAUAAGCUGGAUAUAAUAUCUCCUGGUAAGCCGACAUACUGGCCCAGUGAUAGAAGAAAAAUACCAGACUUAAUAGAUUUUGCUGUAGUCAAAAAUAUAGAUAGAUUGCUUAUGACAGCUGAUACAUGUACAGACUUAUCAUCUGAUCAUUCGCAUGUACUAAUAAAGUUAUACGAACAGCCCAUGAUAUUUGAGCCGAAAGUUUCUCUAACAUCACAUAAAAAAAAAAACAAAAAAAAUAAGUAUAAAAGUAUAUCAGCACCCACAUCAAUAUUGAUUGCAAAAUAAAUACAGGAGGAGACAUUGAUGAAAAUGUAAGAGAAAUUAAUGACGUAAUAACUAAUGCAGCUGUAUUAGCAACACCAAAAAGAAACAACAAACCAGUUGUUUUUAGAAAGAUCACCAAUAAUGAAAUUGAGAAACUUGUAAAUGAGAAAAGGCGAGCUAGGCGGGAAUGGCAGUUAAAUCGAUCCCCUUCAACUCUGCUUCAACUGAAAUCUGCUGUACGAAUGUUAAAAAAAGCGCUUAAACGCGAAGAGGAACACAACACUGAAAAUUAUAUACAGAAACUGUGUCCAAAUUCUCGCAAGCAAAACUCUCUUUGGAAAGCACAAAAGUCUUUCAAGCCACUAGUAGAUUCCAACUUGCCUCUAAGACAGUUGAAUGGUAAUUGGGCACGUAGUGAUGAGGAUAAGACAAAUUGCUUCGCAAAUCACCUAGAAAAGGUAUUUCAACCCAAUUGCCCAAAGAACAACUUUGAGUUGCCAACCUUGCCCAAUAUCGCAAGCGAGUCACAUGUGUCUAUUAGGACUUCUACUUCUGAAGUUACUAGAAUAAUAAAAGAACUUAACCCAAAAAAAUCACCAGGACUUGAUAAUAUUACCCCAAAAAUGUUAAUUGAGUUACCCAAUAUUGCCGUAAAGGUGCUCUCUUUGCUCUUCAAUGCAAUUCUUAAUCUCGGACACUAUCCAAAUUCAUGGAAAAAGUCGCAGAUCAUCUUGAUAGACAAACCUGGGAAAGACUUAACACAGCCGUCUUAAUACAGACCAAUCAGUCUUUUACCCUGUCUUUCUAAGAUAUUUGAAAAAUUGUUACUAUCAAAGAUGACUCCUUUCCUCCACGAAAAUAAUAUAAUAGCAACGCACCACCAACAUAGCACGAUUGAGCAAGUAAAUAGAAUUACUAACGAAAUAAGAAAACCAUUUGAGCACAGAGAGUACUGUUCAGUUAUAUUUCUAGACGUGGCUCAGGCGUUUGAUAAGGUAUGGCAUGAGGGCCUUUUAUACAAGAUUAAAAAUAUUCUACCUUCAGAAUUAUAUAUAACAUUGGAAUCGUAUUUAAGAAAUAGAAAAUUUAUGGUAAAAAUGGCAAAAAGACAGAUAAGAGCUGGUGUACCCCAGGACAGUGUUCUAGACCCAACACUAUACAUCAUAUAUACAGCAGAUCUUCCAACAGCUAGCAGUGUAUUAACUUCUACUUUUGCGGACGACACAGCCAUAAUGAGCCGUAACAAAUGCCACGUAGUAGCAUCAAGAGCACUUAAGGUUUGUCGAAGAAUGGCUAGAAAACUGGCGUAUAAAGGUAAAUGAACAAAAGUGUAAGCAUGUUACAUUUUCGCUUAGACCAAAAAUGUGUCCGGCAGUAAAAAUUAACAAUAUUUUAGUACCCCAAGCGAAUGAAGUAACUUAUCUUGGUAUUCACCUAGAUAGAAGACUUACGUGGAAAAACAUAUAUCUAGUAAAAUAACUUGCAUGAAGAUAAGAGCUGCAAAUUUAAAUUGGCUAUUAAAUAAAAACUCCAAACUUAGCCUAGACAACAGAGUGCUUUUAUAUAAUGCGGUCAUAAAGCCGAUUUGGAUGUAAGCCAUUCAACUGUGGGGUACGACCUGUGCAACUGAUAUAGACAUAAUACAAAGGUUGCAAUCAAAAAUGCUUAGAUCAAUCACGUGUUAAACAUGGUACAUGCGUAAUGAAAAUAUCCAUAAAGACCUUGGUAUUUCUAUGGUAAGGAAAGAAAUAGAAGAUAGCAGAAUUAAAUAUAUAUCUAAACUGCGUGAUCACCCAAACCCUUUGGCUAAUGCUUUGGUACAUUCCUACGAUCAAACACGGGUUAAAAGAAGAAAUAUGCCCGCGUAGUGAGGAGCAAUGUAUCACCAAAACAGCUCAAUCACUUGCUUGAGCGUGUCUAGUUUUUAAAUAGGUUUAAGAUUUUAUUAUUUAUUGUUAGGCUUUCAAAACAAAAAGCAGAUUCAAUAAAUAAAAAGAUAUUGAAACAAAAAAAAAAUUGGCGUAGACACGGUUUACGGGUUUAGCUGAGCGUGCCAGUCUUAUCUUCUUUUUGAUAUUUGGCGCCAAUUCGAAAUACCAAGUAGAGCCAUGUCCUUUUUCACCUGAUCUCUUGAACGGAGUAAAUGUCUUACUCUUCUUCUGCAUUUGCGAGUACUCUUCCAUCCAGACAACAUGACCUAGCCAGCACAGCCGCUGUUUCUUGAUUCGCCGCACCAUAGAGUAGGACUGGAAAGACGAGAGACUUGUAGAAUUUGGUCUUUGUACGUCGAGAGAAGACUUUACUUUUCAAUUGCUUACUCAGUCCAAAGUAGCACCCGUUGAAAAGAGUGAUUCUGCGUUGGAUCUCAAAGCUAAUAUUGUUGUUUGUGUCGAUGAUAGUUCCACGAUAGAACUAUUCACUACUUCAAAGUUAUAACUAUCAACAGUGACGUGCGAGCCAAAUCGUAACCGUUUAAUGGCAGGCAGUAUUUCGUAUUGUCCUCGUUCACAAUGAGACCCAUUUCGCUUCCUUAUCCAGUCUGGAGAAAACGUUUUUAUGAUCAAUGAUAUACAUAUAUAUAUAACUAUAUCCGGCAAAUAUUUUACAAAAAGGCUGAUGCACGCACCCUAUCAGUUUUUCGCUACCGUAUUUGAAUAGUUCGGCCGGUAUUCCAUCGGUCACUGCUGCUUUGUUGUUCUUCAGGCGGGUAACUGAUAUUCAAUCUCAUCAUAGUCGGACAAUGAACCAUCUAUUCGAUCGUCAUAGAUUGGGUUUCACCAUCUCCAGAUUUUACACGUUCCCCGCAGGAUCACUACAUCAGCACUUUGAGUCUUAAAAGAGUAGGCUCCGGUCUUAAAACCUCCUGUUAGUAGCCUCAUCUUUUCGUAGAAUUUUCAAGCAUUACCCCUGUCGUUCACUUCUCAAGCUCUUCAUACUCACGCAUAUCGGCCUCUUUUGUUUUGUCUGCGUAUGCGUCUCGCUUUCUUCUUCAACUUUCUAUUCCACCCCACCGAUAUUGCCUUUGCAAGGUUAGCAGUCUGUUUUCUCUCUGCUGCGACAUGGCAUUAUUAUUUAAACAAGUGGAACCCGAAAAUAUAUUUAUAAUAUAGCACGAACAUUUUUCUUUGACUUUACAAAAUAUCAUCAAUUUAUCUCCAGUAGUUUAUGAGAAAAUAAUUUUACAAUAUUAUUAAUAUUAUUAAUAAUAUAUUAAUAAUUCGUGCUUUAAAUUUCAACCUUCAAUACUUUAACAAAAAAUAGGAUUUUGACGAAAUAUUUAUAUCACGGGGUAUGCGUCCGAUUCCUUUCCUAAUGAACUGCUAAUUGCCAAAAUUGGUGAUUUUACGAAAUUUUCAUGACAUGGUUUGAUCUAAAUAUGAUUUUAAUCCAUUUAUAAUUCUUUAGAAUAUAAUA